ACUCAAAUGAAUUGACGGGGACCCGCACAAGCAGCGGAGCAUGUGGUUUAAUUCGAAGCAACGCGAAGAACCUUACCAAGGCUUGACAUCCCCCUGACAGCUUUUUAACCAAAGUUUCCUUCGGGCAGGGGAGACAGGUGGUGCAUGGUUGUCGUCAGCUCGUGUCGUGAGAUGUUGGGUUAAGUCCCGCAACGAGCGCAACCCUUGUCAUUAGUUGCCAUCAUUAAGUUGGGCACUCUAGUGAGACUGCCGGGGAUAACUCGGAGGAAGGUGGGGAUGACGUCAAAUCAUCAUGCCCCUUAUGUCUUGGGCUACACACGUGCUACAAUGGCCGGUACAACGGGAAGCAAUGCCGCGAGGCGGAGCAAAUCCCAAAAGCCGGCCCCAGUUCGGAUUGCAGGCUGAAACCCGCCUGCAUGAAGCCGGAGUUGCUAGUAAUCGCAGAUCAGAAUGCUGCGGUGAAUGCGUUCCCGGGUCUUGCACACACCGCCCGU
rnacentral:rRNA from 1 species